rnacentral:tRNA from 1 species
GAAGGUAUAGCUCAGCAGGAGAGCAAGUGCUUGGCAUGUAGGAGGUCUUGGGUUCAAUCCCCAGUACCUCCC